rnacentral:rRNA from 1 species
AGAGUUUGAUCCUGGCUCAGAUUGAACGCUGGCGGCAUGCCUUACACAUGCAAGUCGAACGGCAGCACGGGGGCAACCCUGGUGGCGAGUGGCGAACGGGUGAGUAAUACAUCGGAACGUGUCCUGUAGUGGGGGAUAGCCCGGCGAAAGCCGGAUUAAUACCGCAUACGCUCUACGGAGGAAAGGGGGGGAUCUUAGGACCUCCCGCUACAGGGGCGGCCGAUGGCAGAUUAGCUAGUUGGUGGGGUAAAGGCCUACCAAGGCGACGAUCUGUAGCUGGUCUGAGAGGACGACCAGCCACACUGGGACUGAGACACGGCCCAGACUCCUACGGGAGGCAGCAGUGGGGAAUUUUGGACAAUGGGGGAAACCCUGAUCCAGCAAUGCCGCGUGUGUGAAGAAGGCCUUCGGGUUGUACAGCACUUUUGUCCGGAG